AUAGUGCAUAGUUUCUGUCGCCUCAAUGAGGAAUUGACAACAACACUGUCGGCGCAUCCACAUGACACAAGCCUUCAGUGAUCGCGCACCACCCCCACUCCUCCUCGACGCAGUUGCUAAGAGCGUUUAUUCCCUCAAGUCAAGGAGGAUUAAAAAAACAUGGCAGACUCUUAGAGGUAAUUAUCUUGUAAUUGUUAUGUCCUCUUCGUCUCCAAAGCUGAAUGCUGCUGUUAUUGAUGUAAAAACGCAUCACUCAAGCUUCUGCGCGCAAAAGUUGCCGGACUACACUAUUUUGUAAACAUAGCCAUACUGCGCAAUACAGAAAGACUUUUGUGGAGUUGACAGGCUUAAUUGGCUUUGUAUCAACUCUUUUGGCAAUGGCUUGGAUGUAACGGACGUUUAUUAAUAUAAAAAAAGUGACUCACUAA